CCAGGGACCCAGCUGGCUCAGGGGCCAGCAUUGCCAAAAGCAAGACUGGAAGCUGAGCUCCUGACCCUUGGGUAUAGCUCAGAAACCUAAUCCAGCCACAUUCCACUGUGGGCCAGAUGCAAGUGUCCCUCAUACUACCCGUGUGCACGUGUAUGUUUUUGCCCAUUGUUGGGGGCUCCUCCACAGACUCCUGGUUAUUCGGAAAGUCUGACUAAAUUACUUGUAUCUUAUUUUGGGGUGGGGCAUCAUCCCCACUACCACCUGAGCUUUUCGCCCCAUCUUUUUAGUGAUACUACGAGGUGUGGGAGUCACACUACAGGCAGACAGAGGGGACCCUAAACUGACCAGUCUUCCUUAGGUCUAGGUGGUACCUGUGUGAACGUGGGCUGCAUCCCUAAGAAGCUGAUGCAUCAGGCUGCCCUCCUAGGGCAGGCCUUGCGAGACUCUAGGAAGUUCGGCUGGGAGUACAGUCAGCAAGUGAAACACAACUGGGAGAUCAUCACAGAAGCGAUUCAGAACCACAUCGGCUCUCUGAACUGGGGCUACAGGCUGUCCUUGCGAGAGAAAGGGGUGAUCUACAUCAAUUCCUGUGGAGAAUUCGUGGGGCAGCAUAAACUAAAGGUACUGAGUUUCCUGUCUUGGUCAUUGCUUUUCCUGACUAUGGUUUUUCUUGCCUGGAACUACAAUUCCAUGUUGCCAAGGGCAAUAGCUAGCAUGUGCACAUGUGUGUAUACACAGCACACACAGGGUCAGCAUGUGCACAUGACUGCACAGACAUGUAUGUUUUCCCUCAGUUUGUUGAUUACACAUAACUGCUAA
rnacentral:lncRNA from 1 species